GAUAAACGCUGGCGGCGUGCAUGAGACAUGCGAGUCGAACGAAGGAUCGGGCUUGCUCGAUCCUUAGUGGCGGACGGCUGAGUAACGCGUAGGUGACCUACCCCGAAGUGGGGAAUAACUGCCCGAAAGGGUGGCUAAUACCGCAUGUGGUCGCACGUUCAUUCGUGCGAGUAAAGCCGCAAGGCGCUUCGGGAGGGGCCUGCGUCCGAUUAGCUCGUUGGUGGGGUAAUGGCUUACCAAGGCGACGAUCGGUAGGUGGUCUGAGAGGACGAUCACCCAGACUGGGACUGAGACACGGCCCAGACUCCUACGGGAGGCAGCAGUCGGGAAUUUUGCUCAAUGGGGGAAACCCUGAAGCAGCAACGCCGCGUGAGGGAUGAAGGCCUUCGGGUUGUAAACCUCUUUUGUCAGGGACGAUGAUGACGGUACCUGGCGAAUAAGCCACGGCUAACUACGUG
rnacentral:rRNA from 1 species